UACGUAGGUGGCAAGCGUUGUCCGGAUUUAUUGGGUUUAAAGGGUGCGUAGGCGGUCCUAUAAGUCAGUGCUGGAAUAUCCCGGCUUAACCGGGAGGGUGGCAUUGAUACUGCAGGACUUGAGUAAAGUUGAGGUUGGCGGAAUUGACGGUGUAGCGGUGAAAUGCUUAGAUAUCGUCAAGAACACCUAUUGCGAAGGCAGCUAACUAAGCUUUAACUGACGCUGAGGCACGAAAGUGUGGGGAUCAAACAGG
rnacentral:rRNA from 1 species